AUUGACCGCUGGCGGCAGGCCUAACACAUGCAAGUCGAACGAGUGGCGGACGGGUGAGUAAUGUCUGGGAAACUGCCUGAUGGAGGGGGCUAACUACUGGAAACGGUAGCUAAUACCGCAUACCAUCGGAUGGGGCCAGAUGGGAUUAGCUAGUAGGUGGGGUAAAGGCUAACAUAGGCGACGAUCCCUGGCUGGUCUGAGAGGAUGACCAGCCACACUGGACCUGAGACACGGUCCAGACUCCUACGGGAGGCAGCACUGUGGAAUAUUGCACAAUGGGCGCAAGCCUGAUGCUGCCAGGCCGCGUGUAUGAAGAAGGCCUUCGGGUUGUAAAGUACUUUCAUCGGGGAGGCGUUACCCUCAGAAGAAGCACCGGCUAACUCCGUGCCAGCAGCCGCGGUAAUUC
rnacentral:rRNA from 1 species